rnacentral:rRNA from 1 species
UACGAGAGGCCCAAACGUUAUUCGGAAUUACUGGGCUUAAAGAGUUCGUAGGCGGCGCAGAAAGUAGGGUGUGAAAGCCCUCGGCUCAACCGAGGAAUUGCGCUCUAAACUACUGUGCUUGAGGAAGCUAGAGGUGAGCGGAACUGAUGGUGGAGCGGUGAAAUGCGUUGAUAUCAUCAGGAACACCGGGAGGCGAAGGCGGCUCACUGGGGCUUUUCUGACGCUGAGGAACGGAAAGCCAGGGGAGCGAACGGGG